rnacentral:rRNA from 1 species
GCAUAUCAAUAAGCGGAGGAAAAGAAACUAACAAGGAUUCCCCUAGUAACGGCGAGCGAAGCGGGAAGAGCUCAAAUUUGAAAGCUGGCACCUCCGGUGUCCGCGUUGUAAUCUCGAGACGUGUUUUCCGUGCGGCUCUAUGGACAAGUCCCUUGGAAUAGGGCAUCGUAGAGGGUGAGAAUCCCGUACUUGCCAUGGAAGAACCGUGCUUUGCGAUACACGCUCUAAGAGUCGAGUUGUUUGGGAUUGCAGCUCAAAAUGGGUGGUAGACUCCAUCUAAAGCUAAAUAUCGGGGAGAGACCGAUAGCGAACAAGUACCGUGAGGGAAAGAUGAAAAGCACUUUGGAAAGAGAGUUAAAAGUACGUGAAAUUGUCGAAAGGGAAGCACUUGAAGUCAGCCAUGCUGCUUGAGACUCAGCCUGGCCUUUGGGCUUGGUGUAUUUCUCGGUGGCAAGCCAGCAUUGGUUUGGGUCGUCGGAGAAGCGCAUAGGGAAUGUAGCGUCCCCGGACGUGUUAUAGCCUUAUGCAGGAUACGACGACCUGGAUCAAGGAACGCAGUGUGCCCUCUGGGCGGGUCUUCGGACACCUUCACACUUAGGAUGCUGGCGUAAUGGCUUUAAGUGGCCCGUCUUGAAACACGGACC